rnacentral:rRNA from 1 species
UACGUAGGGUGCAAGCGUUGUCCGGAAUUAUUGGGCGUAAAGAGCUCGUAGGCGGUCUGUCGCGUCGGCUGUGAAAACCCGGGGCUCAACCCCGGGCCUGCAGUCGAUACGGGCAGACUAGAGUGCGGUAGGGGAGACUGGAAUUCCUGGUGUAGCGGUGAAAUGCGCAGAUAUCAGGAGGAACACCGGUGGCGAAGGCGGGUCUCUGGGCCGAUAUUGACGCUGAGGAGCGAAAGCGUGGGGAGCAAACAGG